rnacentral:lncRNA from 1 species
UCACAUGACUCUCCAGUUGGGUGUCCAUCGUGGGUGUGUGUCCUUAGUCUCAGAUGGCUGGUGGACGCAGGAAAAAAGCCCCAUCACUGCUGCUGCUUCAUGGCCGAGAGCCGCAGAUUAGAGUGGAUUCCUGAGAUGGGGGACCAGCCAACCAUCCCAAGAGCAGGAAGACAGGAGGCACAGAGAGUCGGCAGAUCAAGCCCAGAUAUUUAUGAAGCACUGAGCCUGGUGCUGGGGACACAGCAGUGAACCAAACAGGCAAGAACUUUGACUUCAUGAUGAUGAAGACUGACAAUACACAAAUAGACACAUCUGAAAAUACAAUAAGUCUUCAUAAAUGCCUAGAAGAAAAGAAGUGUGCUAUGGCAGAAAAAAAAUUAACCGAAGAGCCUAUAUUCAAGAUGAAGAGGGAGGCAAAGAGGCCACGAAAGAGGAAUAAACAAAAGGAGGAUACCAGCAAAGGCCAAGACAGGCUGGUUUCAGGAGCUAGAGCUGAGGAACACCAGUGUGGCCUGAGUUCCUAAGAGGCUUCACAGGGGGUAGCUAAACCAACAAGUGCAUUCAGCAAGACAUUGUGGAGUCUGUUUGCACUAUGAACCUCUGUUUUCUCAUCUGUAAAGUUAGGAGAGUGAUACUAACCACACCAGAUGUUUGAGAGAAUGAUUAGCCUCCAGCCCAGUAAAAUGGAAAUCCCAAGUCAAGAUAUGCAAGUGUGCCUUUGUAAUACCAGCUUUGCUUCAUUGUAAUGUUUUCCUGAUCUUCCUCAGUGGUGACUGGAGCACUUUGCUUUGGGUUAUUCCUGCCCCUAAACUAUUAAAUGAUCUAUACACAAAUCUUGCAGGGUUGCACCAUGCAGGGAUGCUGUAGAGCUUUGGUCCUGGGCACUGCGUCACCCUCUAAUUUAUGACUCAAAAGCAUUCCAGUACUAAUGGUAGGGGUCUAGCAUUAUUAAUAUAUAAGGCUGCUGUUUGUGUGUGGAAGAAAACAUUCUUGGCCGAGUGCAGUGGCUCACGCCUGUAAUCCUAACACUUUGCAAGGCCAAGGCAGGAGAAUUGCUUGAGGCCAGGAGUUUGAGACCAGCCUGGGCAACAAAGCAAGACCCUCUCUCUAAAAAAAAUUUUUUUAAAAAUUAAUCGGGUGUGAUGGUGCACACCCGCAGGCCCAGCUACUCGGAAGGUGGGUAGGAUGGCUUGAGGUGGAAGGAUUGCUUGAGACUGGAAGGUUGAGGCUGCAGUGAGCUGUGAUUGCGCCACUGUACUCCAGCCUGGGUGACAGAGAGACUCUGUCUCAAAAAAACAAGUUCUUUCUUUUCUCAUAUCACUCCUUGCCUCUGUGUUCGGGAGACAUUUUGAAAGUUUAGAAGGCACACUGAGAUAAAUAUGAGCAAAAGUGUUUUACCAACUGUAAAGCAGCGUUUCUCCACCCUGUGCCAUCUAGGUGUCAUUUCCCCUCUGAUACACCACUCCUCCUUAGAGAAUCACAGAAUCUUGGGUCACUGGUAUUACAAAUGUAUGGGUACGUUAUUGUUUUCUAAGAAUUAAAGUAUAUUCUAUUUAACAUAUCAUGUUUCACAGUCUUAAAAACUCUUCGAUGAAACUUAUUUAAAGGCCUAACAACCCUGCCUGUUUGUUUUUAUAGCACUUAUCUGAUUGCACCAUUGGAUAUUAACUCAUGGAUAUAUUUUGUUGAUCACCUCUUUUCCUAAUUCUAGAAUGUAAACUUGAGGAGACCUGUCUGUCUUGGUCACUGUUGUGUGCACAGCAUCUAGAAAUAUGCCAGGCCUAUAGUAAGCAAUCAGUAACUAUGAGUUUAAGGAAGUAAUGAAUCCCAUUUUACAGAUGGGACAACUGAGGUUUCACAGGGUUCAGUAACUUUUCCAAGUUCUUACAGGAAUUAAAUGGUAGGGCUAGGCUAGAAAUCAGAUCCCUAGAUUUCUCCUCUAGAACUCUCUCCGGGAUACUACCUCUCUUUCUGUGGCAUAAUCA